rnacentral:rRNA from 1 species
GUGUCAGCAGCCGCGGUAAUACGAACCGUCCAAACGUUAUUCGGAAUCACUGGGCUUAAAGGGUGCGUAGGCGGCCCGGUAAGUUGGGUGUGAAAUCCCUCGGCUCAACCGAGGAAUUGCGCCCAAAACUGUCGGGCUCGAGGAAGAUAGAGGUGAGCGGAACUUAGGGUGGAGCGGUGAAAUGCGUUGAUAUCCUAAGGAACACCGGUGGCGAAAGCGGCUCACUGGGUCUUUUCUGACGCUGAUGCACGAAAGCUAGGGUAGCGAAGAGGAUUAGAUACCCUAGUAGUCC